rnacentral:rRNA from 1 species
UACGUAGGGGGCAAGCGUUAUCCAGAUUUACUGGGCGUAAAGCGCGUGUAGGCGGCUGGUUAGGUGUGAUGUGAAAUCUUCCGGCUCAACCGGAAAACUGCAUUGCAAACCGGCCUGGCUAGAGUGCAGAAGAGGUGACUGGAAUUCCCAGUGUAGCGGUGAAAUGCGUAGAUAUUGGGAGGAACACCAGAUGCGAAGGCGGGUCACUGGGCUGAUACUGACGCUAAAGCGCGAAAGCGUGGGGAGCAAACAGG